rnacentral:rRNA from 1 species
UACGAAGGGGGCUAGCGUUGUUCGGAAUUACUGGGCGUAAAGCGCGCGCAGGCGGUCUUCCAAGUCAGUGGUGAAAGCCCCGGGCUCAACCCGGGAGGGUCGUCGUGAACCGGGGGGCUUGAGGCCGGUAGAGGUGGGUGGAACUCCUGGUGGAGUGGUGAAAUGCGUAGAGAUCAGGAAGAACACCGUGGCGAAGGCGGCCCCACUGGGCCGGUACUGACGCUGAGGCACGAAGGCGUGGGGAGCGAACGGG